rnacentral:ncRNA from 2 species
CAACGAUAAAGGCAAACCCGGUGAAAGCCGGGGGCGCAAAGCCAUGGGUCUAAGGCGUAUAAGCGCUAUGACUGCCAGGCUGCCGAA